AACGAACGCUGGCGGCAGGCCUAACACAUGCAAGUCGAGCGCAUCCUUCGGGGUGAGCGGCGGACGGGUUAGUAACGCGUGGGAACGUGCCCUUUUCUUCGGAAUAGCUUCGGGAAACUGAAGGUAAUACCGGAUACGCCCUUUGGGGGAAAGAUUUAUCGGAGAAGGAUCGGCCCGCGUCUGAUUAGGUAGUUGGUGGGGUAAUGGCCUACCAAGCCUACGAUCAGUAGCUGGUUUGAGAGGAUGAUCAGCAACACUGGGACUGAGACACGGCCCAGACUCCUACGGGAGGCAGCAGUGGGGAAUCUUAGACAAUGGGCGCAAGCCUGAUCUAGCCAUGCCGCGUGAGUGAUGAAGGCCUUAGGGUCGUAAAGCUCUUUCGCUGGGGAAGAUAAUGACGGUACCCAGUAAAGAAACCCCGGCUAACUCCGUGCCAGCCGCCGCAGUAAAAC
rnacentral:rRNA from 1 species